rnacentral:rRNA from 1 species
ACGUACACUCCUACGGGAGGCAGCAGUGGGGAAUUUUGGACAAUGGGCGAAAGCCUGAUCCAGCCAUGCCGCGUGCAGGAUGAAGGCCUUCGGGUUGUAAACUGCUUUUGUACGGAACGAAACGGCCUUUUCUAAUAAAGAGGGCUAAUGACGGUACCGUAAGAAUAAGCACCGGCUAACUACGUGCCAGCAGCCGCGAUAAUACGUAGGGUGCAAGCGUUAAUCGGAAUUACUGGGCGUAAAGCGUGCGCAGGCGGUUAUGUAAGACAGUUGUGAAAUCCCCGGGCUCAACCUGGGAACUGCAUCUGUGACUGCAUAGCUAGAGUACGGUAGAGGGGGAUGGAAUUCCGCGUGUAGCAGUGAAAUGCGUAGAUAUGCGGAGGAACACCGAUGGCGAAGGCAAUCCCCUGGACCUGUACUGACGCUCAUGCACGAAAGCGUGGGGAGCAAACAGGAUUAGAAACCCCUGUAGUCCCAUGA